AUAGCGAGAAAGAAACUAACAAGGAUUCCCCUAGUAACUGCGAGUGAAGCGGGAAAAGCUCAAAUUUAAAAUCUGGCGGUCUCCGGCCGUCCGAGUUGUAAUCUAGAGAAGUGUUAUCCGCGCUGGACCGUGUACAAGUCUCCUGGAAUGGAGCGUCAUAGAGGGUGAGAAUCCCGUCUUUGACACGGACUGCCAGGGCUUUGUGAUGCGCUCUCAAAGAGUCGAGUUGUUUGGGAAUGCAGCUCAAAAUGGGUGGUAAAUUCCAUCUAAAGCUAAAUAUUGGCGAGAGACCGAUAGCGAACAAGUACCGUGAGGGAAAGAUGAAAAGAACUUUGGAAAGAGAGUUAAACAGUACGUGAAAUUGCUGAAAGGGAAACGCUUGAAGUCAGUCGCGUUGGCCGGGGAUCAACCUUGCUUUUGCUGGGCGUACUUUCCGGUUGACGGGUCAGCAUCAAUUUUGACCGUUGGAUAAAGUCCAGGGGAAUGUGGCAUCUUCGGAUGUGUUAUAGCCCUUGGUCGCAUACAACGGUUGGGAUUGAGGAACUCAGCACGCCGCAAGGCCGGGUACUUGUACCACGUUCGUGCUUAGGAUGCUGGCAUAAUGGCUUUAAUCGACCCGUCUUGAAACACGGACCAAGGAGUCUAACAUGCCUGCGAGUGUUUGGGUGGAAAACUCGGACGCGUAAUGAAAGUGAAAGUUGAGAUCCCUGUCGCGGGGAGCAUCGACGCCCGGACCAGACCUUUUGUGACGGAUCCGCGGUAGAGCAUGUAUGUUGGGACCCGAAAGAUGGUGAACUAUGCCUGAAUAGGGUGAAGCCAGAGGAAACUCUGGUGGAGGCUCGUAGCGAUUCUGACGUGCAAAUCGAUCGUCAAAUUUGGGUAUAGGGGCGAAAGACUAAUCGAACCAUCUAGUAGCUGGUCC
rnacentral:rRNA from 1 species